AUUUCAGAGAACCUGGCGGCAUGGAUUAUAUGGAGUAUUUGGUUGGCUAGGAACCAACUGAUCUUUCGAGAGGAAAAGUUAGCAACCCAAGAGAUUGUGACAAAGGCGGCCCGACUUGCGAGGGAAUGGACACAGGCGCAGGCUGCGGUUGAGCAACCAAAGGCGCUGAAGGAGAUAAGUGGAAUUGGAUCAAGAUGUGAUAUGGUUUGCAGGUCUGAUGCAGCUUGGAACAGUGAGAAACGUUGCACUGGGGUGGCGUGGGAAUUUCUACGUAACGGGAAUGAGCGUGUAAGCUCAGGAUCCCUUACUUUUACAAAUGUUAAAUCACCCCUUGUGGCGGAGGGGUUGGCUUUAUUAUCAGCAAUGGAAGACGCAGUAUCAUGGGAUUUCAGACAAAUCUCAUUCGAGUCAGAUUCAAGCAGGUUGAUGAAGGCAGUUAAAGAAGGCUCAAAUGUUUUAGAUUUGCACGGAAUCCUCUGUGAUAUUUAUGCUUUAUCUAUGGCUUUUGAUGUUGUUUCUUUUUAUUGGGUCAGUAGAAACUCUGUUUCUCAUGUGGAUGGAAUAGCCAAAUAUGUGCUAAAAAACCUUGUAUUGAACCUAGUUUAAUUUCUAAUGUAAGGUAGUUGUGAACAAAAAAAAAAAAGUACCAGGAAAAAUAAGUACCUAUUUGUGGAAACUGCAAUACUUUAGAGAAAGUUUACAAUAUUGAGUUGGUCAGGUACUUAAUUAUGAUGAAAAUAAUAUUAAAUAAUACUUAAUUACAAUCUGUCUUUAAUCAAAUCAGAAUUUAUAUAAACAUUGCUAUUUAAGGUUCAACUUCAACCAUGACACUACAUUGGAUGUUGAAAUAAUAUUAAAUUUAUUAGUUUAGUAAUAUACUUUAAAUGUCAUCUCCAAUCAAAACAUUAAAUUUUGUGUUAUAGUGUUGUACAUUAAUUUUAUAUAAAUAUUUUUUGUUUUAACUAUUUUAUAUACUUAUUUAUUUAUUUACCUAUUUUAGUUUUACUAAUCUAUACAUGCAUUAUUAAUUAAAAAAUUUAUAUGUAUUUUAAUUACAAAUUUAAUUGAAUGAAUAAAUUAAGUUAAUUCCAAUAUUAAAUAAAAUAAACUAAAUAAUUUAUUAAAAUUGCAUCUGAUGAUUAAUGUUACACCAAAAUUUUAUACUACUUUCCACAAAAAAUCAACUUUAGUGUAACUGUCUAAUUUUUUGAAACCUAUAAGAGAUGAAGAUAUACCAAGCUCAGUUGGAAUUUAGUUUCAAUUGAACUGUCGGUUUUUAUUAUACUUAUUAUUAUACUUCUUUAUUUUAUUGUUUACCCUAUAUUUCAGUUUGUAUAACAUAAUCUAAUUUAAAGAUCACUUUCAAAAUACUCUCAAAUUGAAAAUUGUCAUAAAUAAUUAUACCCUACUAUGUAUAAAUAUUUGAAAUAUUAUAAAAUCCCAAAAAAACAUAGAACUAUUAAGACGAUGACAAAAAAAAAAAUUAGAACUAUUAAGAAAGUAUUAAUCACAAAUCUAAUAUAGUGUUUUAAGAUAACAUAUUUAUCAGAUUGUUAGAGAUAAAUAAAUAUUUUUCAGAAGUACAAGAUAUGACUUAUAUUCAAUUUUCAACAAAAUAGGUUUGGGACAAAAAUAACAUAUAUGGAGAAAUGGAAGUUUUUUUUCAUCUUGAAGAAUUUAUAAUGUUUUAAAAUUCAAGUGGAUUAUUUCCACAAUGGUUUUAAGUAACAAUUGUAAUUAUCUAGAUGAAUAUUUGCAAUUAUUUAAAUGUAAUAUUGUAAUUGUUUAUAUAAAUAUUCACAAAUUUUAGAUGCUCAAUUAUAAUAUUUGAUGAUUAACCAUUCUAAUCCGGCUGAUUAUUGCUAACUAAAAUUUAACUAUUUAAAUUAUAACAUUAUUUUUCUGCGAUUAACAUUGUUGCUUUAAGUGAAAAUUUAUAGUCUCUCAAAUGCCCUGUCUCAUAUAUAGCUUUGAAUAACAUGUGUUGCUUUCUUUACCCUCAGCUCCUCGACAAUGAGGCUGAAGACAAUGUCCUAAUUUCAUUUUUGAGUGAAAUUUUUGUUUGUCGAGAAUUUAUUUUUACUAUAAAAAUAAUUCAUUUAACUUUGUUUCUAAUUUGGUUGAUAUAACAAUCAGUGAAAGAAAUAAAUAUUGUCACUAAUAAAGUAUUCCACAAAUAUUUUCAGUAAAUUAAUAUAUGAUAUAUGCAAUUAUAUAUCUUUUUCAUUUAGAAUAUUUUUUAUUGAAAUGGUUUGUGGUUAUUUCUCGUUUUACUUAUAUUAUACAAUUUUAAAAUUCAUGAAAAAAUUAAAGAUCUGUAUUUUCUCCUUAUUUUAUUAUACAUUCAUAGCAAAAUAAGAUGCUUUCUACAAAAGUAUAGAUUGUACAAAGUGGCAUAUGUUUUUAAUAAAAUUAGUUCACUAUAAUAACUUAAAAAUACAUAGAUACUUUAAUGUGUGUGCCUUUACUAAUUGGUAUUGACAUAUUUUUAAUUUUAUUACAACUAACUAAAAAAAAAUAUAACUGCAUGUAAGAUUUUUGUAACACAUAUAUUUCUUCAAAACAAUUAUAUAAAAUGUGGCAUAUUCUUUUUUUACAAAAUGAAUUCCGUGCGAUAUUGCACGAGUUCCUUACCUAGUAUUAUUAAUGAUAUUAUCUUUUAAAAAAGUAAGUUUCUUAAUUCUUGUGCAUUCAUGUAAAAGAUCUUAUAUUAUGGAAUGGAUGGAAUAUAUAUUUUUAAGGUUUUACCAUAUUCUGCAGCAAGUGUACUCUGAAAUACUAGCUUCUAUCAAUAAAGUACUUUUUUUGUUACGUGUAGUCCCAGAACAGCAUUAAAUUUCUAUGUCUUUUCUUUAAUGUUUAUCAAUAUGUUAAUUUAUUUCUUCUCAUAUCCGUCGCAAUAAUCAAAGUGCUUUGACGAUUCAAAGAUAUGCUUAUUUGUAGUGUUUACAAUCUGAGGGCUUAUAAAACAUCCAAUUCCGGAAAUUUUGUUUGCGGACAUUCAAUUCAUAGAAGUGUUCAUCUUUCCACCCAGAAUCUCAGAACAAAUUUCAACAUAAUUGUUUGUAAACCAUUUUUUUGUUUUAAUAUAUCCCUACUUUGAAGAGGUUUCAACACUGCUUGUCGUAUGUCUGAUUAAUUUAUGCCUCUUUAAUUUUGUUAAUCGUCCUCCUUUUUAAGUAUACGUAUUUGUUUCUGCCGUUUUUAUUUUCAGGGCUUGUUGCUAUUUGAAUGUCUUUGUGAUCAGAUCUCUAUUUGAAUGGUUAGCAGUGUGUGGAAGGAGAUUGAGUGAAUUGCGUCUUAUUAUUGGCCGACGACCCUUAACUUUCUUUUUCUCUCUUUCCUUUCUGAUUUAGUAAAAUAAUUCUGAAGUGCAACACUUGUCUGUGCAUGAGUUUAAGUGGGGAAGCUUGUACUUGAAGAACAUGUGGAAAGUGAGCCAAGUUUCGAUGAUAAUUCAGUUUUUACAAGGUUUCACAAUCAUUGCGUUGCAAUACAGAUAUUUACAAGGUUUCAAAUAAAUAAAUAAAUUGUGACGCCAACCUACUUGCUGUGCAACUAUAUCAUCAUUAUAACAACAACAUGAAAGAGAAUGAACGUGACAGAAUCUCAAGAACCAGAGCAAAAAGAAAAUGAAGGCUUGUUGUACUUAUGUAUUUAAUGCAUAUAUCUGCUUUUGGGAUUUGAGUGUUUAGAAGAUGGAUUUAAUUAUCUUGCCAUUUGUCCCUCUACAAGAUAAGACUACCAAAAAGAUGUGUUCGUAAAUAUAUUUGUGUUGUUACUUUUAAAUGUAAUUUUGUAAUUGUUUAUAUAAAUAUUUACAAAUUUUAGAUGCUCAA